UACGUAGGGGGCGAGCGUUGUCCGGAUUCAUUGGGCGUAAAGCGCGCGUAGGCGGCCCCGCAAGUCGGCCGUGAAAUCUCCGGGCUCAACUCGGAGGGGUCGGGCGAGACUGCGAGGCUCGAGGUGGGCAGAGGGCAGUGGAAUUCCGGGUGUGAGUGGUGGAAUGCGUAGAGAUCCGGAGGAACACCAGUGGCGAAGGCGGCUGGCC
rnacentral:rRNA from 1 species